CCCUACGGGACGCAGCAGUGGGGAAUAUUGCACAAUGGGGGAAACCCUGAUGCAGCGACGCCGCGUGAGUGAAGAAGUACCCCGGUACGUAAAGCUCUAUCAGCAGGGAAGAAAAUGACGGUACCUGACCAAGAAGCCCCGGCUAACUACGUGCCAGCAGCCGCGGUAAUACGUAGGGGGCAAGCGUUAUCCGGAUUUACUGGGUGUAAAGGGAGCGUAGACGGCAGCGCAAGUCUGGAGUGAAAUCCCGGGGCUCACCCCCGGAACUGCUUUGGAAACUGCGCGGCGCGAGUGCAGGAGGGGCG
rnacentral:rRNA from 1 species